rnacentral:rRNA from 1 species
GACGAACGCUGGCGGCGUGCUUAACACAUGCAAGUCGAACGGAAAGGCCCUGCUUUUGUGGGGUGCUCGAGUGGCGAACGGGUGAGUAACACGUGAGUAACCUGCCCUUGACUUUGGGAUAACUUCAGGAAACUGGGGCUAAUACCGGAUAGGAGCUCCUGCUGCAUGGUGGGGGUUGGAAAGUUUCGGCGGUUGGGGAUGGACUCGCGGCUUAUCAGCUUGUUGGUGGGGUAGUGGCUUACCAAGGCUGUGACGGGUAGCCGGCCUGAGAGGGUGACCGGCCACAUUGGGACUGAGAUACGGACCAGACUCCUACGGGAGGCAGCAGUGGGGAAUAUUGCACAAUGGGCGGAAGCCUGAUGCAGCAACGCCGCGUGCGGGAUGACGGCCUUCGGGUUGUAAACCGCUUUCGCCUGUGACGAAGCGUGAGUGACGGUAAUGUGUAAAGAAGCACCGGCUAACUACGUG